GACGAACGCUGGCGGCGUGCUUAACACAUGCAAGUCGAACGGAAAGGCCCUUCGGUGUACACGAGUGGCGAACGGGUGAGUAACACGUGAGUAAUGUGCCCUUGACUCUGGGAUAACAGCAGGACACGGUUGCUAAUAACGUAAAUACACAUGUGACUGCAAGGGGGUGGGUGGAAAGCUUUUGCGGUCUUGGAUUAACGCGCGGCCUAUCAGCUUGUUGGUGGGGUAAUGGCCUACCAAGGCUUCGACGGGUAGCCGGCCUGAGAGCGCGACCGGCCACACUGGUACUGAGAUACGGCGCAGACUCCUACGGGAGGCAGCAGUGGGGAAUAUUGCACAAUGGGCGGACGCCUGAUGCAGCAGCGCCGCGUGCGUGAUGACGGCCUUCGGGUUGUAAACCGCUUUCAGUAGGGACGAAGCGCAAGUGACGGUACCUACAGAAGAAGCACCGGCCAACUACGUG
rnacentral:rRNA from 1 species